UCUGCCAGUGACUGUGUGCUUACCUUCU
rnacentral:piRNA from 1 species